rnacentral:rRNA from 1 species
UACGUAGGGUGCGAGCGUUAAUCGGAAUUACUGGGCGGUAAAGCGUGCGCAGGCGGUUUUGUAAGCCAGAUGUGAAAUCCCCGGGCCUUAACCUGGGAAUGGCAUUUGGGACUGCAAGGCUGGAGUACGGCAGAGGAGACUGGAAUUCCUGGUGUAGCAGUGAAAUGCGUAGAGAUCAGGAGGAAUACCGAUGGCGAAGGCAGGUCGUCUGGGCUGACACUGACGCUCAUGCACGAAAGGCGUGGGGAGCAAACGAGG